rnacentral:tRNA from 1 species
GCCGGAGUGGUGAAACUGGUAGACGCACCGGACUCAAAAUCCGGCGGAGGUAACUCCGUGACGGUUCGACUCCGUCCUCCGGCACCA